rnacentral:sRNA from 1 species
AUUUUAGCUACACCAUCAAAGCUUUGAGAAGCAAGAAGAAGCUUGGUUAGUGUUUUGAAGUCAAAUGUUACUAGAU